UGAAAAUAUACAGCAGGAGCUUUCACUUGUGCUUCCCCUGUGUCUUUGGCGCCAAAUGGAGUAAGAGCAUUCCUAAACUACAUCUCCCAUGAUGCCUAGUCGCAGGGUUGACGCUAAAGUGCUCAUGGGAGAUGUAGUUCAGAGAAUAGAAGGCGCUCCUAAGCCCCUCAUUUCUCCUGCAUUUCAGUAAGUGAGUAUUAAUCAAUGAGUUCCUGUACUGAGUAGGGCUAAUACACUCCAUUACUGUAGGAAAAUGUGCCGUCUGUCAGGAUGGCUGCUCACC